CCGGCGCGACGGGUGAGUAACGCGUAUGCAACUUGCCUAUCAGGAGGGGGAUAACCCGGCGAAAGUCGGACUAAUACCGCAUGAAGCAGGGGCCCCGCAUGGGGAUAUUUGCUAAAGAUUCAUCGCUGAUAGAUAGGCAUGCGUUCCAUUAGGCAGUUGGCGGGGUAACGGCCCACCAAACCGACGAUGGAUAGGGGUUCUGAGAGGAAGGUCCCCCACAUUGGUACUGAGACACGGACCAAACUCCUACGGGAGGCAGCAG
rnacentral:rRNA from 1 species